UUUGGUUAAGUUAGAAAGGGCGCACGGUGGAUGCCUUGACACUAGGAGUCGAUGAAGGACGGGACUAACGCCGAUAUGCUUCGGGGAGCUGUAAGUAAGCUUUGAUCCGAAGAUUUCCGAAUGGGGAAACCCACCAUACGUAAUGGUAUGGUAUCCUUAUCUGAAUACAUAGGGUAAGGAAGACAGACCCAGGGAACUGAAACAUCUAAGUACCUGGAGGAAGAGAAAGCAAAUGCGAUUUCCUGAGUAGCGGCGAGCGAAACGGAACAUAGCCCAAACCAAGAGGCUUGCCUCUUGGGGUUGUAGGACAUUCUAUACGGAGUUACAAAGGAACGAGGUAGACGAAGCGACCUGGAAAGGUCCGUCGUAGAGGGUAACAACCCCGUAGUCGAAACUUCGUUCUCUCUUGAAUGUAUCCUGAGUACGGCGGAACACGUGAAAUUCCGUCGGAAUCUGGGAGGACCAUCUCCCAAGGCUAAAUACUCCCUAGUGAUCGAUAGUGAACCAGUACCGUGAGGGAAAGGUGAAAAGCACCCCGGAAGGGGAGUGAAAGAGAUCCUGAAACCGUGUGCCUACAAAUAGUCAGAGCCCGUUAACGGGUGAUGGCGUGCCUUUUGUAGAAUGAACCGGCGAGUUACGAUCCCGUGCGAGGUUAAGCUGAAGAGGCGGAGCCGCAGCGAAAGCGAGUCUGAAUAGGGCGUUUAGUACGUGGUCGUAGACCCGAAACCAGGUGAUCUACCCAUGUCCAGGGUGAAGUUCAGGUAACACUGAAUGGAGGCCCGAACCCACGCACGUUGAAAAGUGCGGGGAUGAGGUGUGGGUAGCGGAGAAAUUCCAAUCGAACCUGGAGAUAGCUGGUUCUCCCCGAAAUAGCUUUAGGGCUAGCCUUAAGUGUAAGAGUCUUGGAGGUAGAGCACUGAUUGGACUAGGGGUCCUCAUCGGAUUACCGAAUUCAGUCAAACUCCGAAUGCCAAUGACUUAUCCUUAGGAGUCAGACUGCGAGUGAUAAGAUCCGUAGUCAAAAGGGAAACAGCCCAGACCGCCAGCUAAGGUCCCAAAGUGUGUAUUAAGUGGAAAAGGAUGUGGAGUUGCUUAGACAACUAGGAUGUUGGCUUAGAAGCAGCCACCAUUUAAAGAGUGCGUAAUAGCUCACUAGUCGAGUGACUCUGCGCCGAAAAUGUACCGGGGCUAAAUACACCACCGAAGCUGCGGAUUGAUACCGAAUGGUAUCAGUGGUAGGGGAGCGUUCUAAGGACAGUGAAGUCAGACCGGAAGGACUGGUGGAGUGCUUAGAAGUGAGAAUGCCGGUAUGAGUAGCGAAAGACGGGUGAGAAUCCCGUCCACCGAAUGCCUAAGGUUUCCUGAGGAAGGCUCGUCCGCUCAGGGUUAGUCAGGACCUAAGCCGAGGCCGACAGGCGUAGGCGAUGGACAACAGGUUGAUAUUCCUGUACCACCUCUUUAUCGUUUGAGCAAUGGAGGGACGCAGAAGGAUAGAAGAAGCGUGCGAUUGGUUGUGCACGUCCAAGCAGUUAGGCUGAUAAGUAGGCAAAUCCGCUUAUCGUAAAGGCUGAGCUGUGAUGGGGAAGCUCCUUAUGGAGCGAAGUCUUUGAUUCCCCGCUGCCAAGAAAAGCUUCUAGCGAGAUAAAAGGUGCCUGUACCGCAAACCGACACAGGUAGGCGAGGAGAGAAUCCUAAGGUGUGCGAGAGAACUCUGGUUAAGGAACUCGGCAAAAUGACCCCGUAACUUCGGGAGAAGGGGUGCUUUCUUAACGGAAAGCCGCAGUGAAUAGGCCCAAGCGACUGUUUAGCAAAAACACAGCUCUCUGCGAAGCCGUAAGGCGAAGUAUAGGGGGUGACACCUGCCCGGUGCUGGAAGGUUAAGGAGAGGGGUUAGCGUAAGCGAAGCUCUGAACUGAAGCCCCAGUAAACGGCGGCCGUAACUAUAACGGUCCUAAGGUAGCGAAAUUCCUUGUCGGGUAAGUUCCGACCCGCACGAAAGGUGUAACGAUUUGGGCACUGUCUCAACCAGAGACUCGGUGAAAUUAUAGUACCUGUGAAGAUGCAGGUUACCCGCGACAGGACGGAAAGACCCCGUGGAGCUUUACUGUAGCCUGAUAUUGAAUUUUGGUACAGUUUGUACAGGAUAGGCGGGAGCCUUUGAAACCGGAGCGCUAGCUUCGGUGGAGGCGCUGGUGGGAUACCGCCCUGACUGUAUUGAAAUUCUAACCUACGGGUCUUAUCGACCCGGGAGACAGUGUCAGGUGGGCAGUUUGACUGGGGCGGUCGCCUCCUAAAAUGUAACGGAGGCGCCCAAAGGUUCCCUCAGAAUGGUUGGAAAUCAUUCGUAGAGUGCAAAGGCAUAAGGGAGCUUGACUGCGAGACCUACAAGUCGAGCAGGGACGAAAGUCGGGCUUAGUGAUCCGGUGGUUCCGCAUGGAAGGGCCAUCGCUCAACGGAUAAAAGCUACCCCGGGGAUAACAGGCUUAUCUCCCCCAAGAGUCCACAUCGACGGGGAGGUUUGGCACCUCGAUGUCGGCUCAUCGCAUCCUGGGGCUGUAGUCGGUCCCAAGGGUUGGGCUGUUCGCCCAUUAAAGCGGUACGCGAGCUGGGUUCAGAACGUCGUGAGACAGUUCGGUCCCUAUCCGUCGUGGGCGUAGGAAAUUUGAGAGGAGCUGUCCUUAGUACGAGAGGACCGGGAUGGACGCACCGCUGGUGUACCAGUUGUUCUGCCAAGGGCAUAGCUGGGUAGCUAUGUGCGGAAGGGAUAAGUGCUGAAAGCAUCUAAGCAUGAAGCCCCCCUCAAGAUGAGAUUUCCCAUAGCGUAAGCUAGUAAGAUCCCUGAAAGAUGAUCAGGUUGAUAGGUUCGAGGUGGAAUCAUGGUGACAUGUGGAGCUGACGAAUACUAAUAGAUCGAGGACUUAACCAUAUAA
rnacentral:rRNA from 1 species